rnacentral:misc_RNA from 1 species
AUAAAUGUAAAUAUUAUUAAUUUAAACCUUAAUUAUAUUUUGAAUAUCUUAAUUUAUUAAUAUAUUUUGGAAAAUCUUUGUCAUAAUAAUUAUCAUUGUCACCAUCAAAAUUAUAGGAAAAUUCAUCUUUUUUAAAGAAAAUACAGUAAUGAAAAAGUAAAAAAUGAGAGAUAUUUGCUAAUCUUAAGAAAACUCUAAUUUUGUUCUAAUUUUUUUCGGCUCAGCGCUUGGAAAAAUAGACGAAAUCAAGGUGAACAUAAAAGUUUACUAUAGUUUUUGGAUAUCUCCAAUAAUAGCCGAGAUAUUAAUUUUUCAAAUUGUACGUAUGAGAGCGCAUCGAAAGAAACGCUGAGCUGCUCGAGCUGCCGUCAAUGCUUGACACAGUGGGCCGUGUUAUAGCUCGAGCGGCUCAGCGCUUUUCAUUCGUACAAUUUGAAAAUUUAAUCUCGGCUAUCAUUGGAGAUAUCUAAAAAUUGUAGUGAACUUUUAUGUUCACCUUGAUUCCGUUUAUCUUUCCUACAUGAAGUAUUGCAUACCUGAUGUGAGACACUUUUCUAUAAAAUAUUAAGCUUUUCAGUUUAAAGGUUUUUUGCGUCUACACUUUGAGUUUUUAAAUGUGUGAAUAUCAUUAUGAUUGAUAAACGAUUACAAGCGUAUCGCACGUAUCAACGCUUUCUUAAGAUACUACUGACUAUGAGUGGCUGUUGGCCCAUACCAACAAAAUCCGGCAAGUCUAAAUAUUACUGGUCAUUUUGUACGCUUUUGGGAUUGACCACGUACGUGACAUGUUGCUUGAAUUUCGGUUAUAACUAUAAACAUAAUUUGACAAUUUGCAUGAAAUACAUAGGCAUGGCUAUAUCUGGAUUUGGCAGCUUUAUCAAGGUGACAAUCUUUUUAAUAAAUCGUGACUCUCUGAUAAAUAUGCACCGAACUCUAAAUGAUUUUUUUGAGGAAGAGCUUAUACAAAACAAGAAAAUACGAACAAUAAUAUUUUCGUCCCUACGUAAAGUGUAUAUCCUGGGGUACACAUAUGCCACCAUUAUGACAGCACUGAUCUUGGCGUAUAUUAUGCCUCCCUAUAUCCAUAUAAUCCGCGAUCUCUGUCACUUGCGUUUGACUACGAACUACACUCUGCCGGUCAGCAAGGGACGUGGAUACCCCUGGACUAUUCCCGACAAUUUUUUUUAUCAUCUUCAUAUGCUUAUGGAGACAAUUUGUUCGUGCUUAAGUGCCAUAACAACGAGUGGCGUCGACAGCGUCUUUGGCUUUUAUGUUUAUCAAUUCGCUUCGACGAUGCAUGCCAUGACUUUCAGGUUCACGAAUCCUCUUCCCACUCAGAAGUUUUCGAAUCUGUUGAAAAAGAGCGUUAAAAAACAUAAGAAACUGUUGCGAUGCCGCGGCACCCUAGAACACAUCUAUGGACCCAUUAUCUUUUGGCAUACUGUCUCCAGUGCGGUGCUUCUUUGCUUCUUGAUGUACGAGAUGGCACAUGUUUCGCAUUUUACCAUUAAAAACUUAUCCGAAGUGCUGACAUUCGCUACCGUGAAGCUGCUUCAAAUGUUUAUGUAUGCAUGGGGCGGUACUAUUCUUACAAAUGCGAUCCUGGGUUUGAAUCGCUGCGUUCUCGCGUCUCUCGGCUGGUUGACGCUCCGUUCCGGCAUGCCGCGACGUAACGGGGAUUAUCAUCAUUGGAGACACCCUGACCGCAGCGUGCAUACGUAGUGCCAGAUUAUUUGACCAGGAGCAACACAAGGUGGAUCUAAUUUGGGCACGAGAAGUCUACUUUCAAGGAAAUAUUAAUACUAAUGUCUAUCUAUAUUGAUAAAAAUAAAAGACUUUUCCCUUUAGGCCAUGUUAUAGGAAAGAGGAGUUUUAGUGGGUAGGCGGCGGUGAGGCUUUUCGAUGUGCCUUCCGUUGAAUCCCACAUUCUCUUGGUCUUUCGGGGAGUCCUUUGAAGAUUUCCUCCUCUAUAAAAAAAAAAAAAAAAAAAAAAAAAAAAAAAGAGGGCAGGCAGAUACACACACAAAAAGUAUGUACAAGACGGGGACAAGGAGACACGCAAAUAUAUUAAUACUUAAAUGUAUAAUAUGUUUCUUAUUGCAUAGAUAUGUAAUAUUACUAUGAUAUCUUUUAUUUUACGUAAUAAAAUAAGAAAAAUUUUUUU